UGGGGAUGAUGUCAAGUCAGCAUGGCCUUUAUAUCCUGGGCUACACACACGCUACAAUGGCCAACACAAUAGGUUGCUAAGCCGCGAGGUGGCGCCAAUCCCAUAAAAGUUGGUCUCAGUUCAGAUUGUAGGCUGCAACCCGCCUGCAUGAAGAUGGAGUUGCUAGUAACCGCAGGUCAGCUAUACUGCGGUGAAUACGUUCCCGGGGCUU
rnacentral:rRNA from 1 species